CCUGGGGAAACCGGGGCCCAGGUCUGUGAGCUGAGAGCUGCUCUUGGAGGGAGAGGAGGGGCUCCUAGGCUGGGCAGGAGCAGAAAGCCCCUGGGAGGGCUGUAUAGUCUUCCGUUCAUUCAGCACAUAUUUGGAGAACACAUCUGUGUACCAAGUACCUUUCCAGAUAUAGAGAACAGAACAAAGCCCCUGCCCCCACUCUCUUGAAAUUCACAUUCUAGCUGGGGGCACAAAGAAGCAAACAAACAAAUAUUCCAUAUGCUGGGGGUGGUGAGUCCUAGAGGAAAAUAAAGCAGGGAGGGUUCCUAUGUUAUACAAGGGUUGGAGGAGCCUUUCUUACAAGGUGAUACACGUGCAGAGAUGUGAAGAAGUGAAGGAGCAAGUCAUCCCAAAACCUGGGAAGACAGGAUUCCAGGGAAAGGGAACAACAUAUAAGACGCCUGAGGAUGCCCUCGUCUGCUGCACAUCCAGGAAGAACAAAAGGGCAGGUGGGGCUGGACAGCAGUGGGCUGAGGGAAGGCAGAAGACAAGGCUGAAAGGGGCUGGGGACAGACCCAGGGCAAGGGAUCUGUUCCGAUGGGGUCAGGAAGACUACACAGAUGGCCGCUGUGUGAUCCCCAUGUGGGGCAAGGGCAGUUGUGAUGGAAGUGGUGAGAUAUGGAGGGAUUCUGGAUCUACUUUAGAGAGAGAGCUGUCAGGAUUUGCUGAUAGGCUGGGUAUGGCAUGGGAGGGAUAGAAAGGAAACAAGGUGAACUUUGAGGUUUUUUGCCAAAACAGUUAGAAAAACAAUAUGGAAUGGGGAAAGUUAUAGAGUAGCAGAUUUGAGGGUAAAAGUCAGGAGUCUGGUUUUGGGCAGGUAACAUCCGUGGCACCCAGUAAAACUCCAUCUGGAAUUUGAGGUGGGCAGUUGGGUUAUCAGCCUGGAGGUGCAGGCUAGAGGCAUAAAUGUGGAUGUUGUCCGCAUAAGUUAAUUCAGGAGCAGUCUCAUGGCAUGGAAGCCAUGGGUUCAGCUGAAGUCACCUAGAGAGGCAGUGUGGACCCAGAACUGGGGGCUGAGCCUUCAGGCAGCCAAAAUCUAGAGUUGGGGAGAUGGGAAAGAACCCACCAAGGAGGGUGACAAGAGCAUGCCGCCGUAUGAGACAGCCAAGGCAGAGCUUCGAGAAGGAAGGCUUGGAUAAAUGUGUCAGAUGUCGCUGAUAGAUCAUAAGAUGAGAAUUGAGUUGGUCACUGGAUUUGUCAAUCUGAAAGUCACUGUCAACCUAGACUAUUGCUGGUUGUAUGUAUGUGUGUCUGUCAUAGCCGCCAGCUCCCAACUCAUCAGCUUACUCAGCAAGAACUCAUUUAAAAUAACUCACCCCAUCCUUACAGGUAAGCACAUUCUUUUAGGAAAGUCAAUGCCAAGCCUCUGGGCCUAUAUUAAGACCUAACGUAUAGUCUGUAGAGGCUGGGGUUGAAUCCCAGCUCUGUUCCUUAACUGGCUGGGUAGACUUGGGCAAGUUAUUCAACAUCCCCGAACCUCAGUCUCCUCACCUGUAAAAUGGAGAGAAUAAUAGUAUCUUCCUCAUAGCUCAUUGUAAAGAUUCAGUGAGAAAAAGAUGCAUAAAGCAUUUAGCGUAGUGCCUUCUUAAUAGCUAUUACUGUUAAGUGGCAUGGUGUAAGUUUAAAAUACUAACAAGGAUACAUCGGCAGUAAGUUUAAUUCUAUUCUGGCAAAAAUAAUCCCCAGAGCCCAGAGGCAUCCCGGUUGCCAUGUUUAAUUUUCUCCUUUCCCCAUUCCCUGGCACCACUGAGACACAGCAAUUCCUUCUCCCCACGUGGCUCUGUGCUCAGUAAGUUUCAAAGAAUGAAUGAGACAGCUGCUAAUUGAGUUCUGGCCUAAAAAAUUAACCACAUUUCUGCAAGCAUAGCACAAAGUGGGUCAGCUCCCACCGUGUUUACCAGGAACCUGGAAGGGUGGAGGUGAGGCCCCAAGCCCUGCUGUCUGGGGAGAAAGAUGCCUGUUCGGAAGCAUAGGCUACGAGCACCCCUACCCACCCCACUGCAGCCCUAGCCCCUGUGGGACUCUCACCCAGAGCCAUGGCUCCAAAACUCAACUUGGCAAUACUCACUCCAACCUGAUGGAAGCCUUCGAGGAAGUUUUGUCAAAGAGCCACCGGAAGAAAAAGUCUAGACUGAAAAACAAAGGAACUCCCUAAGAGUUUAUUUCCAGCAUUCCAUAUUGUCACUACAUAUGCUUUCAUUUUCUUUUGCUCUAAAAACAGGCCAAAGCUCGAGAUCGACUUUUGUUCUCAACGAUGCAUUACUGCAGCAUGACCUGUCACAGUCUGCUUUAACAGAAACUUCCUUCCUUGAGAUAAACAAAGCCAUAAUGAGGCCCUCCCUAAGUGGAAGGUCCUUGCAGGAGGUGGUGGCAUAUACCUGGUGAGACCCAGGGAGGGCAGGAUCAGCACCAUGAAGAUCAAGAAUAUGUAGACUUUGGUCAUCAUGAUCUGGUUUUCCCCUGACCUGCAGGAAGUCAAAGGUGAGUACUCACAGUCCCCCAGAUGCUCCAGGUGCCCCCAGUGAGGCCCCUGCCAUGUGCCCAUUGGCUGAGCAGUUGGGGGACAGGGUGUGGACAAGGGAGUGGUCAGACAAAUAUGUCUUAGGGGCAGGGCCUCAGGACUCCCGGGUACUCACUUGGUCCAGUGAGACUCCAGCAGUGUAGAGUAGUAGACAAUGGAGGGGAGCAGAGCCGAGAAGGACCAGAGCAGGAGGGUAGGGAAGAACUGGCUGAUGAUUGGGUUCUAGGAGAAAGGUCCACAGCAGAGAGAGUCACAGGGGCCGUGGGCCACACGGCUCUGAGGCCAUGACCUAUUGGCACGGUCGCUCAGUGGACUCCCGGGGUAGGAGUUUGUCAUCUCUGACCCCCAGAACCAACACUGUGCCAGGUACAGAGCUGGUAGUCCAUAAAUGUUGGCUGAAUAAUCAGUAACAGCACCUUAUAUUUGUAUACCUCCUCACAGCACAGCAAAGAAAGCAAUUUCACAUACAAGUAAACGCCACUUAUCUGACUAAACAGAUUAAAUAACCUUCUCUGCUCCCUAUACAAAACAAAUGACUGAUGCCAUGGGAAGACUGAACACUGAAGGCCUGGAGUCCUGGCUGGGGGCAUGGGGCGGGCAGGGGGUGCCCUGCCUGCUCAGCUCCCACUGGUCCAGCUGCAGCAUAUCAGGACUCUACUGUGUGUGUCCACAAUCCUGCUGUUUGUUACUGUGAUUAUAUGAGCUGACUGACUUAUUACUGUCACUUAUUAGAUGAACAUAAAAAUAGAGAGAAAUUUUCUUUGAAAA